GAUGAACGCUGGCGGCGUGCCUAAUACAUGCAAGUCGAGCGAAUGGAUUAAGAGCUUGCUCUUAUGAAGUUAGCGGCGGACGGGUGAGUAACACGUGGGUAACCUGCCCAUAAGACUGGGAUAACUCCGGGAAACCGGGGCUAAUACCGGAUAACAUUUUGAACCGCAUGGUUCGAAAUUGAAAGGCGGCUUCGGCUGUCACUUAUGGAUGGACCCGCGUCGCAUUAGCUAGUUGGUGAGGUAACGGCUAACCAAGGCAACGAUGCGUAGCCAGCCUGGGAGGGUGAUCGGCCACACUGGGACUGAGACACGGCCCAGACUCCUACGGGAGGCAGCAGUAGGGAAUCUUCCGCAAUGGACGAAAGUCUGACGGAGCAACGCCGCGUGAGUGAUGAAGGCUUUCGGGUCGUAAAACUCUGUUGUUAGGGAAGAACAAGUGCUAGUUGAAUAAGCUGGCACCUUGACGGUACCUAACCAGAAAGCCACGGCUAACUACGUGCCAGCCGCCGCCGUAA
rnacentral:rRNA from 1 species